GAGUGCAAUUGAGUGGCAUGAAUUACGUUCACAAUGUUGGGCAAGCAUCAUCAUAUCUAGUUCCAAAACUUUGUCAUUGCCCCAGAUAGAAACUCUGUUCUCCAUUCUCCAGCUCCUGGUAACCUCUAAUCUAUUUGCUGUCUCUAUAAAUUUUCUUGUUCUAGAGACAUCAUGCAAGUGGAAUUAUACAAUAUAGUUGAUACACUCUUAUCCAGAGGGAUACGUUCCAAGACCCACAGUGGAUGCCUGAAGCCAGGGAUAGUACCAAACUACGUGAGAUGAUAAAACACCUACGUGAUGACAUGAAAUGACGGGAAUGACCUAGGCACUGAGACAUAGCAUUGGGUUGCUAUUGACUUUCUGGCCAUAUGUCAGAAGGAGGACCAUCUGUUUCUGGACUGCGGUUGACCACAGGAAGAGGAGAUUUGGACACACAAAGAGACACAAGGGGCACUCCACAAAGGAAAGAGCGUAUGAGGACACAGCAAGAAGACAGCCAUGUGCAAGCCAAGGAGAGAGGCCUCAGGGAAAACCAAACCGGCUGACAACUUGGCCUUGGACUUUCAGCCUCUAGACCUGUGGAAAAUAAAUCUCUGCUGUCGAAGCCA